CAUUUUGGAAAAAAAGAAAAACCACAAGGGGAGGGAGAGGGAAAAAAAUGAAAACGUCACGCACACAUGCGCAUAUAGGGUGCCACACUGACGCAUCGCUUGUUGUAUAGUCAACUGUUUUUUCGCUCCCCGGACCGAGGCAUGCCUGUAGCGGAUUAUUGUUUUUACCGCAUUCAACAGUGUUUUCCAAGCGAAGGGGGCGAAAGUCAGGGCUGAGAGCGCGGAGCGGAGACCGGAGAGGGAUCCGCCGAACUAAUGCCGCUCAUCCUCUCGGAAUGAAGAGCUGGAGGAGGAGAGGGGGGGAGAGAGAGAGGCAAUUUGAGCCGAUGAACUGAGGUAUCACGAUCCUAAUCUGGUGUGUGUGUGUGUAUUUGUGUGUGUGUUUUUUUCCUCUUCUUGGUCACUUUUAUCAUGGAAGCUCUGCGAGUGACGAGGAGCCGCAAAUCUCGUUUUUGCGCCUCUGGAGGGGAAUAAAAAAAAAACAACAAAAAAAAAAACAACUCCCGACGCGACAAAAGUGUUGUUUUCUUUUUUUUUCUUUUUGGAUCCUUUUUUCCGUUCUCCCCUCUCAGCAUUCCCUCAGUCAGUCGACGGGAUUUUUUUUUGUGUGUGUGCCAUUACAGCUCAGCAGAGGGUGUCAGAUUAUUCUUAGAGUCACCGCGCCGGGGAUAAACACCGUCUCCUCGUCCCCCCCCCCCUCUCUAUCUGUUUUUGGGGUCUUUUUGGCGAUUCCCCUGCACAGGAGGAAAAGACGAAGAACGGAGCUACAGGCAAGAACCUGCCGGAGGAUGUGAAAAAAUAAAACGCAAAAGAGGGGGAUGCGGGUGUUUCGCAGCGGUGGGAUCGCCUCUGAAGCUCCAGAAGCGCAGGGUGUGAAUUCAGCACCAGGGGAGAGGAGGACAGCUCCCGACGCAGCAGCAGCGGCGGCAGCACGCAGCGCGGACACACGGAGGAAGAAACGCACGGAUUUGGCUCAUUUUCGCCUGCCAAGGUCAGUGAAACAACACCGGGGAAGAGGAGGCGGAAAGAUGUGCCGGACUGUGGCGCCGCUUUUCUCGUUCGAGCUCCUGAAGGAGGCUGCGCGGAUCCGCUCGAUGUGAAAAGAGACGUUUCUUUCUUUUUUUUUUUUUCCUCUUUUUUUUUUUUGGGUGAAUGCGCUUCGGUUUUUCACCCACCAAAGUCUGGACACAAACGCAGGUUAGAUUGCAGCAUGGAUGCGCUCUGAAAGAGACUGCCUUAUCUCCUCCCUUCGAUUUUUUCCCCCGUCAACAAUCUUUUUUCCCCCCUUCUUUUUCUCUUCCCCCCCCCCCACCUCCUCUCUCUUCCUCGCAUCGAUGUCGACUGAAUCUCGCGGCUCGCACGUCUUGAAGACCUGGGAAUGAAUCGCUAACGCUUUAAAAAAAAUGCUGCUCUGGAUUGUCCUGCUGAAUGCGGCUCUUUGUGUUGCCAGUGGAAACGUUACAAGGGACGUUUGUAAGGAGCAGAUAUGCUCCUGCAACGAGGUCGAGGGGGAUCUGCACAUAGACUGCGAGAAGCGGAGCUUCACCACGCUGCAGCACCUGACCGGCCCCAGCUCGCAGUUCUAUCACCUGCUGUUGCACGGGAACUCGCUGUCCAGGCUCUUCCCCAACGAGUUCGCCAACUUUUACAACGCAGUCAGCCUGCAUCUGGAGAACAAUGGCUUGCACGACAUCGUGCCCGGCGCCUUCCUGGGGCUGCAGCUGGUGAAGAGGCUGCACAUCAACAACAAUAAGAUACGAUCGUUCAGGAAGAGCACGUUCCUGGGGCUGGACGACUUGGAAUACCUCCAGGCUGAUUUCAACCUGCUGAGGGACAUUGACCCCGCCGUUUUCAGGGACUUAAAUAAACUUGAAGUGUUGAUACUUAACGACAACCUCAUCAGCGCGCUACCUAUAAACGUGUUCCAGCAUGUGCCCAUCACGCAUCUCGACCUGCGGGGGAACCGAAUCAAAACGUUGCCUUACGAGGGGAUCCUCGAGCAGAUCCCGGGCAUUGCGGAGGUUCUGCUGGAGGACAACCCGUGGGACUGUAACUGCGACCUGGUUUCUCUGAAGGAAUGGCUGGAGAACAUACCGCAUAACGCGCUCAUCGGGAGGGUGGUGUGCGAGGCUCCCACCCGCCUCCAGGGCAGCGACCUGAACGAGACGUCAGAGGCCGAACUGUGCCCCUCGCAGAGCGGCGGCGUCGACACCAGCCUGGUCGCCCCUCCCACCCAGGAGGAGAUCUCCGAGAGCCGCGGCCCGCGCCCCACGCCUUACAAGCCCAACGGGGACGCCGGAGGGCCCCCGACGCCCGGCGGCCACGGAGCCAAGAGCCGCUCCAAAUCUCGUGAGAACUGGCAGCUGAAGACGAAGCCCACGCCUGUGCUGACAGGUGUGAACGGGGACAGGGAGCAGCAGCAGCUGCACAACGUCACGUGCCCGCAGCCGUGCAACUGCAAGCUGGUGGGCUCCAGACAGGGGCUGGGGGUCAACUGCGAGGGCAAGAAGAUCGAGAGCCUGGCCAACCUGAAGCCCAGGCCCUUCACCGCACACGAGCUCAACAUGAGAGACAACAACAUCCACGCGGUGAAGAAGAACCAGCUGCUGGGAUACUCCAGCCUCAACCUGCUCGACCUGGGCGGCAACAACAUCAAGGUGAUCGACAACGGCACGUUCCAGAACCAGAGCGAGCUGCGGUGGCUGUACAUGGAUAAGAACUAUCUGGAUACGCUGCUGGCGGAGAUGUUCGCGGGCCUCGUCAAUCUGGAAUACCUCAGUUUGGAAUACAACGACAUCCAGCUGAUCGUGGCGGGCGCCUUCAGCCCCAUGCCCAACCUGAGGGUGCUGUUCCUCAACAACAACCUGCUCAAGUCUUUGCCGGUGGAUGCUUUCCUUGGGAUUUCUUUAUCCAAAAUUAGCCUGCAUAAUAAUUAUUUCCCCUAUCUCCCCGUGGCUGGCGUGUUGGACCAGCUCAACUCAAUCAUACAGAUCGAUUUGCACGGGAACCCGUGGGAUUGCUCGUGCAACAUCGUGCCCUUCAAGCAGUGGACGGAGAAGCUCGGGGCGGACGUGAUCGUGAGCGACCUCAAGUGCGAGUCCCCCGAAGAGUUCUGGAAGCGCGACUUCCGCUACGUCCGGAACGACCUCAUGUGCCGCAAACUCCAGGACAAGGUCUCCCCCACGCCCCCGGCCAAAAACAGCACUUUCGCGCAGGACUCGGGGACGCGCUCGAACUCGUACCUGGAGCCGAACAGGGUCUCCAUCUCGGUGCUCGUCCCCGGGCUGCUGCUGGUGUUCGUCACGUCCGCGUUCACGGUCGUGGGGAUGCUUGUGUUUAUCUUGCGGAACCGCAAGAGGUCAAAGCGGAGGGAGGGGAACUCCUCCGCCUCGGAGAUUAACUCCCUACAGACAGUGUGCGACUCGUCGUAUUGGCACAGCGGGCCUUAUAAUGCGGACGGGGGCGCGCACCGGGGCUUCGACUGCAGCACGCACCUCUCCACGACAAAUGACGCGUAAAAACAAAACAGAACAAAAAAACACAGGAAAAAAAGGGGGAGAGGGGGGACUCUGGCAGAACGAAACCCCCUUCCCACCCCCUCCCAACACGCCCCCACAUAUCCCCCCACCCCCACCCACACACACCCACCCACCCACCCCAGACUGGAUUACAAACACAAGACAGACUGACGCACACAAAGUGACUGCAGAGACCAGAGUCAUCCGCUUUUUUCCGUUCGUCAUGAGGCGAACUUGUUUCAUGUCUUGUUUAUUGAACCAAAACAUUGCUGCGUCUCUCGGCGUGUUAGGACGACUGCUGAUCGCUGAUACAACAUGAAACCCCCGGCAGGAAAAGCGUAUCGCAUCACCUAAGAGUGCUUCUGGCCCGUGUAUGGGAUCAAAACAAAACAUCGACAAUCAUGAAGAUGUUUGAUGGGAUAGAUAAGAUAAGACUUUGUUGAUGCCUCCCUGGGGAAAUUCACUUGUUACAACGGCGCGAGAGUCAUAAGCAGAUGGGGGAAAAAACAGUCGCUGUGUGAUGAUGGUAUCAGUUCCAAAACUCCACAGGGUACCUUUAGGUUAAAUAAGGUAUUUAAAAAGCGUCUUGGAUCAGCUGGAAAAUGCAUCUGCAG